rnacentral:rRNA from 1 species
UACGAAGGGGGCUAGCGUUGUUCGGAAUCACUGGGCGUAAAGGGCGCGUAGGCGGCUUUGUAAGUCGGGGGUGAAAGCCUGUGGCUCAACCACAGAAUUGCCUUCGAUACUGCAUGGCUUGAGACCGGAAGAGGUAAGUGGAACUGCGAGUGUAGAGGUGAAAUUCGUAGAUAUUCGCAAGAACACCAGUGGCGAAGGCGGCUUACUGGUCCGGUUCUGACGCUGAGGCGCGAAAGCGUGGGGAACAAACAGG